AUCGAACGCUGGCGGCAUGCCUUACACAUGCAAGUCGAACGGCAGCAUGAUCUAGCUUGCUAGAUCGAUGGCGAGUGGCGAACGGGUGAGUCAUACAUCGGAACGUGUCCUGUUGUGGGGGAUAACUAGUAGAAAGAUUAGCUAAUACCGCAUACGACCUGAGGGUGAAAGUGGGGGAGCGCAAGGCCUCAUGCUAUAGGAGCGGCCGAUGUCUGAUUAGCUAGUUGAUGAGGUAAAGGCUCACCAAGGCGACGAUCAGUAGCUGGUCUGAGAGGAGGAUCGGCCACCCUAGAACUGGAACAGGGCCCAGACUCCUACGGGACGCAGCAGUGGGGAAUUUUAGACAAUGGGCGGAAGCCUGGUCCAGCGAUGCCGCGUGUGAGAAGAAGGCCUUCGGGUUGUGAAGCAGUUUUGUCCGGAAAGAAAUGGCUCUGGUUAAUACCUGGGGUCGGUGACGGUACCGGAAGAAUAAGGACCGGCUAACUACGUG
rnacentral:rRNA from 1 species